AUACAUGCAAGUCGAACGCGUCUCCGUUAAUGAUUUUAGGUGCUUGCACUUGAAAGAUUUAACAUUGAGACGAGUGGCGAACUGGUGAGUAACACGUGGGUAACCUGCCCUUGAAGUAGGGGAUAACACUUGGAAACAGGUGCUAAUACCGUAUAACAACCAAAACCACCUGGUUUUGGUUUAAAAGACGGCUUCGGCUGUCACUUUAGGAUGGACCCGCGGCGUAUUAGCUUGUUGGUAAGGUAACGGCUUACCAAGGCGAUGAUACGUAGCCGACCUGAGAGGGUAAUCGGCCACAUUGGGACUGAGACACGGCCCAAACUCCUACGGGAGGCAGCAGUAGGGAAUCUUCCACAAUGGACGAAAGUCUGAUGGAGCAACGCCGCGUGAGUGAUGAAGGGUUUCGGCUCGUAAAACUCUGUUGUUGGAGAAGAACAGGUGUCAGAGUAACUGUUGACAUCUUGACGGUAUCCAACCAGAAAGCCACGGCUAACUACGUGCCAGCAGCCGCGGUAAUACGUAGGUGGCAAGCGUUGUCCGGAUUUAUUGGGCGUAAAGCGAGCGCAGGCGGUUUUUUAGGUCUGAUGUGAAAGCCUUCGGCUUAACCGGAGAAGUGCAUCGGAAACCGGGAGACUUGAGUGCAGAAGAGGACAGUGGAACUCCAUGUGUAGCGGUGAAAUGCGUAGAUAUAUGGAAGAACACCAGUGGCGAAGGCGGCUGUCUGGUCUGUAACUGACGCUGAG
rnacentral:rRNA from 1 species